ACCUCAGCCUCCCAAAGUGCUGGGAUUAUAGGUGUGAGCCACCGUGCCCAGCCUAAGCAAAGAAAGAAGAGAACGCCUGGGACUGGCUGGUGCAAUGCUCCCACGGUGCAUUUCAUCUCAGCACGGGACUGGAUGGGGCGAUGCUCCCACGGUGUGUUUCAUCUCAGCACGGGACUGGACGGUGUGAUCAUCCCACGGUGCAUUUCAUCUCCUCGCCAGACUGAACAGUGUGAUGCUCCCACCGUGCAUUUCACCUCAGCACGGGACUGGACAGCGCAAUGCUCCCACAGUGCAUUUCAUUUCGUCAUGGGACUGGACAGUACAGUGCCUCCACAGUGCAUUUCGUCUCAGCCUGGGACUGGAUGGUUCAAUACCCCGACAGGGCAUUUCAUCUCAGCAUGGGACUGCAUGGUGCGAUGCUCCCACAGUGCAUCGGGACUGGAUGGCCGCUGUACCCAACUUGCAUCCUGCUUUGACCAGCAGGGUCAUUACUGGUGCUCAGAAAACAAAUCUGGCUGAUUUCCCACUUCACUGGUGCCCCAAACCAUGCUUUUUGUCACCCUCUGUAGUAAUAACCAUUUUCUGUAAGCAACUGCCAUUAGCCACCUCUAAAACUGUAUCUCUUGCCUAGCCAUUAUGCAAACCACGGUCAAGUUUUCUCACAAUACUGGGUAAUUUUUGGUAUCCCUGAAAAGCCAAAGAGAUCAGGUAAUACCAUGCAAAAGAGGGCAGAGCUUUAGACCUCAGAAGACUCUGCAUGUGACGCUUGAAACUUCACAAGGAAAGCAGAAGACCUCCAACAAACGCCCACUGCACGCACUGUUGCAGCCCAGAGGUGGGUGUGAGGUCUCUGCUGCCACUCAUCCUCAUCCACAGCCAGUCACCCAGCCCGAGACGCCUACUCUGGUCUCCAGCUAGGAUGUUGAGGAC